AGAUUAAUAACGCGUUUNNNNNNNNNNNNNNNNNNCGAUGAAGGACGUUACUAACGACGAUAUGCUUUGGGGAGCUGUAAGUAAGCUUUGAUCCAGAGAUUUCCGAAUGGGGAAACCCAGCAUGAGUUAUGUCAUGUUAUCGAUAUGUGAAUACAUAGCAUAUCAGAAGGCACACCCGGAGAACUGAAACAUCUUAGUACCCGGAGGAAGAGAAAGAAAAUUCGAUUCCCUUAGUAGCGGCGAGCGAAACGGGAAGAGCCCAAACCAACAAGCUUGCUUGUUGGGGUUGUAGGACACUCUAUACGGAGUUACAAAGGACGACAUUAGACGAAUCAUCUGGAAAGAUGAAUCAAAGAAGGUAAUAAUCCUGUAGUCGAAAAUGUUGUCUCUCUUGAGUGGAUCCUGAGUACGACGGAGCACGUGAAAUUCCGUCGGAAUCUGGGAGGACCAUCUCCUAAGGCUAAAUACUCUCUAGUGACCGAUAGUGAACCAGUACCGUGAGGGAAAGGUGAAAAGCACCCCGGAAGGGGAGUGAAAUAGAACCUGAAACCGUGUGCUUACAAGUAGUCAGAGCCCGUUAAUGGGUGAUGGCGUGCCUUUUGUAGAAUGAACCGGCGAGUUACGAUUUGAUGCAAGGUUAAGCAGUAAAUGUGGAGCCGUAGCGAAAGCGAGUCUGAAUAGGGCGUUUAGUAUUUGGUCGUAGACCCGAAACCAGGUGAUCUACCCUUGGUCAGGUUGAAGUUCAGGUAACACUGAAUGGAGGACCGAACCGACUUACGUUGAAAAGUGAGCGGAUGAACUGAGGGUAGCGGAGAAAUUCCAAUCGAACCUGGAGAUAGCUGGUUCUCUCCGAAAUAGCUUUAGGGCUAGCCUCAAGUGAUGAUUAUUGGAGGUAGAGCACUGUUUGGACGAGGGGCCCCUCUCGGGUUACCGAAUUCAGACAAACUCCGAAUGCCAAUUAAUUUAACUUGGGAGUCAGAACAUGGGUGAUAAGGUCCGUGUUCGAAAGGGAAACAGCCCAGACCACCAGCUAAGGUCCCAAAAUAUAUGUUAAGUGGAAAAGGAUGUGGCGUUGCCCAGACAACUAGGAUGUUGGCUUAGAAGCAGCCAUCAUUUAAAGAGUGCGUAAUAGCUCACUAGUCGAGUGACACUGCGCCGAAAAUGUACCGGGGCUAAACAUAUUACCGAAGCUGUGGAUUGUCCUUUGGACAAUGGUAGGAGAGCGUUCUAAGGGCGUUGAAGCAUGAUCGUAAGGACAUGUGGAGCGCUUAGAAGUGAGAAUGCCGGUGUGAGUAGCGAAAGACGGGUGAGAAUCCCGUCCACCGAUUGACUAAGGUUUCCAGAGGAAGGCUCGUCCGCUCUGGGUUAGUCGGGUCCUAAGCUGAGGCCGACAGGCGUAGGCGAUGGAUAACAGGUUGAUAUUCCUGUACCACCUAUAAUCGUUUUAAUCGAUGGGGGGACGCAGUAGGAUAGGCGAAGCGUGCGAUUGGAUUGCACGUCUAAGCAGUAAGGCUGAGUAUUAGGCAAAUCCGGUACUCAUUAAGGCUGAGCUGUGAUGGGGAGAAGACAUUGUGUCUUCGAGUCGUUGAUUUCACACUGCCGAGAAAAGCCUCUAGAUAGAAAAUAGGUGCCCGUACCGCAAACCGACACAGGUAGUCAAGAUGAGAAUUCUAAGGUGAGCGAGCGAACUCUCGUUAAGGAACUCGGCAAAAUGACCCCGUAACUUCGGGAGAAGGGGUGCUCUUUAGGGUUAACGCCCAGAAGAGCCGCAGUGAAUAGGCCCAAGCGACUGUUUAUCAAAAACACAGGUCUCUGCUAAACCGUAAGGUGAUGUAUAGGGGCUGACGCCUGCCCGGUGCUGGAAGGUUAAGAGGAGUGGUUAGCUUCUGCGAAGCUACGAAUCGAAGCCCCAGUAAACGGCGGCCGUAACUAUAACGGUCCUAAGGUAGCGAAAUUCCUUGUCGGGUAAGUUCCGACCCGCACGAAAGGCGUAACGAUUUGGGCACUGUCUCAACGAGAGACUCGGUGAAAUCAUAGUACCUGUGAAGAUGCAGGUUACCCGCGACAGGACGGAAAGACCCCGUGGAGCUUUACUGUAGCCUGAUAUUGAAAUUCGGCACAGCUUGUACAGGAUAGGUAGGAGCCUUUGAAACGUGAGCGCUAGCUUACGUGGAGGCGCUGGUGGGAUACUACCCUAGCUGUGUUGGCUUUCUAACCCGCACCACUUAUCGUGGUGGGAGACAGUGUCAGGCGGGCAGUUUGACUGGGGCGGUCGCCUCCUAAAAGGUAACGGAGGCGCUCAAAGGUUCCCUCAGAAUGGUUGGAAAUCAUUCAUAGAGUGUAAAGGCAUAAGGGAGCUUGACUGCGAGACCUACAAGUCGAGCAGGGUCGAAAGACGGACUUAGUGAUCCGGUGGUUCCGCAUGGAAGGGCCAUCGCUCAACGGAUAAAAGCUACCCCGGGGAUAACAGGCUUAUCUCCCCCAAGAGUUCACAUCGACGGGGAGGUUUGGCACCUCGAUGUCGGCUCAUCGCAUCCUGGGGCUGUAGUCGGUCCCAAGGGUUGGGCUGUUCGCCCAUUAAAGCGGUACGCGAGCUGGGUUCAGAACGUCGUGAGACAGUUCGGUCCCUAUCCGUCGUGGGCGUAGGAAAUUUGAGAGGAGCUGUCCUUAGUACGAGAGGACCGGGAUGGACAUACCUCUGGUGUACCAGUUGUCGUGCCAACGGCAUAGCUGGGUAGCUAUGUGUGGACGGGAUAAGUGCUGAAAGCAUCUAAGCAUGAAGCCCCCCUCAAGAUGAGAUUUCCCAACUUCGGUUAU
rnacentral:rRNA from 1 species